rnacentral:rRNA from 1 species
CAAUAGCGUAUAUUAAAGUUGUUGCAGUUAAAAAGCUCGUAGUUGAAUUUCUGGUGGGCGCGCCGGUCUUCCAAGUGUUGUACUGGGCGCAGUCCGUCAUCCUUGUGGAGAGGGCUCGCAUUGAGUUGCGUGUCGGAUCUGCAUCAUUUACUGUGAAAAAAUUAGAGUGUUUAAAGCAGGCUGUCGCUUGAAUACAUUAGCAUGGAAUAAUAAGAUAGGACUUCGGUCUAUUUUGUUGGUUGCGAACCGAGGUAAUGAUUAAUAGGGAUAGUUGGGGGUAUUCAUAUUUAAUUGUCAGAGGUGAAAUUCUUGGAUUUAUGAAAGAUGAACAACUGCGAAAGCAUUUACCAAGGAUGUUUUCAUUA